rnacentral:rRNA from 1 species
CCGAUAGCGUAUAUUAAAGUUGCUGCAGUUAAAAAGCUCGUAGUUGAAUUUCGGGAUCAAUAUGUUGGUCGUGCCUCGGUACGUACUGGCUUAUUGGUUUCUCCCUUCUGACGAACCAUGAUGUCAUUUAUUUGGUGUUAUGAGGAAUCAGGACUGUUACUUUGAAAAAAUUAGAGUGUUUAAAGCAGGCUCACGCUUGAAUACAUUAGCAUGGAAUAAUGAAAUAGGACGUUUGAUUCUAUUUUGUUGGUUUCUAGGAUCGACGUAAUGAUUAAUAGGGAUAGUUGGGGGCAUUAGUAUUCAAUUGUCAGAGGUGAAAUUCUUGGAUUUAUUGAAGACUAACUACUGCGAAAGCAUUUGCCAAGGAUGUUUUCAUUAAUCAAGAACGAAAGUUAGGGGAUCGAAGACGAUCAGAUACCGUCGUAGUCUUAACCAUAAACUACGCCGACUAGGGAUCGGAUGAUGUUAAUUUUUUAAUGACUCAUUCGGCGCCUUACG